rnacentral:rRNA from 1 species
CGGACGGGUGAGUAACGCGUGAGAAUCUGCCUUCAGGUCUGGGACAACCACUGGAAACGGUGGCUAAUACCGGAUGUGCCCUUCGGGGUGAAAGGUUAACUGCCUGAAGAUGAGCUCGCGUCUGAUUAGCUAGUUGGAAGUGUAAUGGACUCCCAAGGCGACGAUCAGUAGCUGGUCUGAGAGGACGAUCAGCCACACUGGGACUGAGACACGGCCCAG